UGUCACUGACUCAAAAUAGGGCUUACAUCACAGGUGCUGCGAGAGCCAUGGUGCUGGAUGGCUGUGCCUGUACGCUCCUCACUUCACACUCAGGGCCUGACAUUUGUUGUUUCCUGAGGCCUGAUGGCCAGUAUAAAACCAAUUGGUAGUGGUUGUCUGCUCUUCUGUGCCCUUCUUGUCUCUGCCUUCUCCUCUGAUACCAGCUUCUUGCUUUGUUUCACUCUUUAUCUCUUCAUCCUGGUGACUUCAUCUCCAGCUCAACCUCCGCCACCUGGUGUCUUUUUAUUUUACUUUGAAUGGAAUCUCCCAAGCUCUUGUAUCAAAAUGUGUUAAAAGCUGAUUUGUCAUCAGGCAUAAAGGCAGUGCCCUUCAAGGUGAAUCAUUUGACUUGAUCUGAUCCUUAAUGAGAAGUGUCUUCAGGCCAUUCCUGGUCUAUGCUUGUGUUCAUUAAGAAAGAAUGUGCUUCAGUGUUCAAAGUCUGUUAAAAUAACUAAACACACCUAGAUCUGUAUGUGCAUGAUGCAGCUUUGUAUUCCAGGUGCAGCUUUGUAAAUAAUUAAACUUAUGUAUGCUCUGUACUUCAGUAACAUCCUUCCUUUCAGCUCUGAAAUGUGUUACAAGCAAUUGAGCCCAGCAGUAUCUUGGGCAGAUGCAUAGUUAUGGAAAGGCUUAAGCCAACAUCCUCAAAUCUAACUGAAGUCCAUGGAAAGAUUAGAUUCUCAGCUCCUCCGAAAAUUAGGUCUUGAGUAUGACGAAUGGCACUCAGAAGUAUGGUAUUCUUCAGAAACACUGACCCGUGUGACAUGUACGAGGACAAGCAGAAAGUUGUUGGUAGGGCAGGGCACAGCACUGUAUUAACCCUGUGUCAGGUCUGUGUGUUGCCCUGGGUGGCACGAGGGAGCGGCCAACAAUUCUGAGAUUUAUAAAAGCAGUUAUUUUAAGUGUGGUUAUCAUACCUGCUGUAAGAGGUGUGGGGUAUGCUGAAUCCAGAGCUCCAUUUCUUUGCUAGGUGACUCAAGGAGAAGCCUUGCCUGAGCAUUGGCGUGCACCCUGUGCUGCUACAUAUGUCUGUGGCUGAACCCACCCAAGGGAAAGCCAGAUCUGACUGUGAUUUCUUGACUGACAUUGCAUACCCUUCUUUGUGUGCACUUACAGCAUGGCUCUGCGUAGAACCAGGCUGGCUGGACUUACCACUUAGGAUCAACUCCCACUUUUAGCAGCAGAUUACAUGUUAACCUUUGUGCUGUGCUCCAGGGGAAGAAGGAAUUAUAAUGUCUCCGCUCAGGAAGAUAAAGUAAACUUAGCAGGGAUGUUCUGUGAUUACUCAGCCUUGCAGUCUGAUUGUCUUAUGCUGAGAGCUUGUAUGGGGAGCAAAGAGGCUGUAGGAAUGUCUUUAGUAAUCUUAAAAAAAACAUAGUCUAGGUUUGUCAUUGCCCUGUGAUGAGUGUUUCAUUAAUACAUAAUCGAUUUUCAGCCCUUGGAAAAUUUGCUUAAUAUGAACUGACAGUUCUCCUUUGAAAAGUAAUCAACCUGCCUCAUCCCUGAAUUAUCUGGUAUUUUAGGCUGGAUCUGCAGACCCAGGCAGCUCAGCCCUCCUUAUGCUUUAAGUACAGGGAGAAAUUUCACCUUGCUCAAGGAGAUAGUGUAUAGUGGGGUAUCUGGCUCCUCACCUGGUGUUGUGUGUGCAGUGGCCAGUUGCAAGAGCUAAUCAGGAAGGGAUAAUCUAGUCUGACAGCACAGGAGAAGGAGGCACUGAUCUCAUGCUGGCUGGCAGAACAGCGUACAUGGUACCGUCAUCACAUCUCCUACUUGAUUAGUCUGGGCAGGCCUUGGAUCUGAACAUGAAGGAUGGAUGCAUUUUUUUCUGAAGGAUUUCUGCAGUCAUCAAUUGAGGAUUUGGCCUGGUUCUCAAAUGAAUGCUUGCUCUUGGGACUAAAUCUCUGCUUCCUGGAUGAUUCACUUACCAUCAGCAUUGCCACUGACAACUCAGAAGCUAUCUGUAGCAGAGGGUAAAUAGUUGAAAAGUAAGACUAUACAAAAUACCUGUAAAAAACCAAGUGGGCAGGAUUAUUUCAGGACUUGGGCAAAGCUUCAGAACUUUUGCUAUUUAUUCAAGAAAGCAGGGACUGAUAGUUCUGUCUGUUUUGUGUGAAAUUAGUUAAUGAGUCUCAGAUAGCAAUUAGUAGCUUGUCACAUCAACAACAAAAAGAGAGAGUAAUAAUCACUGUUGAUAGAGUUAGCAAGAAGACCAAGGCUUGGAUGGAUGGUGAAGUGUGAUUCUGUGUUUUCCUCUUUUCAGGCCAAGUUGGAAGCAUAUUGGUAGGGUAUAAUGGGCAAAACUCUCACCAGACAGUGCGUCUCUCUGAUGCUUGCCCACCGCUUACAUGUUUCUUCAGAAACAUGGAUGCGGAAACAGGAUAGCUCUUCCCAAAUGCCAGCCUGGUAAUGCCCCUCUGAUAUACAGCAAUGUUCUUUGGAAAGUGGCCAGUGAUUCCUUCUUAUUUUACAUUUCCAUUUUUAUAAUGAAAACUUAGUUAGAGAAAUUUAAUUUGCAGACAGCCCCAGCAUGCUACCUAAAAAUACACUUAGAAAUGAAUAUUGGACAGCUCAAGCACAGCAACAGGAAAACAUCCAGCUGAAGGACUUGAUUUUGCGGCUAUUUGUAUCUCCUGAUGGCUUCUCUGCUUUAGGGGGAGUAGUGGGGAGGGAAAGGAGAGUUAAAUGGAACUUAAAACAUCACUUUACAUCUAUUUCUUCUCUUCAUCUGUGCUGCCCUGUUAGAUUACUGUAUCUUUGCUCUAGGGGCUAUUUUCUAGCCAAGUCAGUGUCUGGCCCAGGUAGGAAUUUCUAGGCGCUACUGUCAUAAAUAUGUCCCGGAAGAAAGAUACAGAAGAGGCCAAUCAUUUGAGCUUUAUACAUCCUUAAUUUAGAUAUUAUGACUGUUUCAGAGUUCUAAUUUCUUUUCACUGUGGGAAUUACACUACGUCUGUUCAUUUAUUCCAUGUAAGAUGCAAAUGGUCAUCAGAGAAAACCAUUUUUAGCAUGCACAAAUUCUUGCUUUGGCAUUUUUUGCUGUAGCACCUCCCAGUGUGGUCUGAGUUAUAGCGAUGACCUGGAAGUGAGAAACUCCUUAUAACUCUUUUAUGCCUUCUACCUAUUCCUUAGUUCCCUAGCAACAAUGGCUCUUUUUUCUAAUAAAAAUCUCUCACAAUUA